CGGACGGGUGAGUAACACGUGGAUAACCUACCUAUAAGACUGUGAUAACUUCGGGAAACCGGAGCUAAUACCGGAUAAUAUAUUGAACCGCAUGGUUCAAUAGUGAAAGACGGUUUUGCUGUCACUUAUAGAUGGAUCCGCGCCGCAUUAGCUAGUUGGUAAGGUAACGGCUUACCAAGGCGACGAUGCGUAGCCGACCUGAGAGGGUGAUCGGCCACACUGGAACUGAGACACGGUCCAG
rnacentral:rRNA from 1 species